rnacentral:tmRNA from 1 species
GGGGGUGUCGGGAUUCGAUGGGUGAUCGUUCUCAUUCCUACAGGCCGAGGUCGUUCCUCAACCUCGUUAAACCAGGAGCACAUAACGCAACUGUCAACGCGUUUUCGCGGGUGAAGGAUGCGGUACGCAAUGCGUUCCGUAUGCCGGCAUUCGCUUCGGCGGUCGCGUAACUGCAACUGCCCAUCCGACCCGCCGACGCCUAGUACGCGGGACCCGGGUGUUAUCUACUGGGCUGGAUGUUCUCGCCGCCCUCGCGAGACAUCGAGAGACAUGAGGGCUCACGGUGUGCGCGUUUUGCGCCGCUCGAGCGCACCCCGGACAUUCCCAGCGGCGACACGCCUGGACACGGAAGGAGUCAACGACCGCUCACACGGGGGUUCAACUCCCCCCACCUCCAUUG